rnacentral:rRNA from 1 species
UACGAAGGGGCUAGCGUUGCUCGGAAUCACUGGGCGUAAAGCGCACGUAGGCGGACUCUUAAGUCGGUGGUGAAAUCCUGGAGCUCAACUCCAGAACUGCCUCCGAUACUGCGAGUCUCCGAGUUCGGGAGAGGUGAGUGGAACUGCGAGUGUAGAGGUGAAAUUCGUAGAUAUUCGCAAGAACACCAGUGGCGAAGGCGGCUCACUGGCCCGAUACUGACGCUGAGGUGCGAAAGCGUGGGGAGCAACAGG